GGUUAAGCGACUAAGCGUACACGGUGGAUGCCCUGGCAGUCAGAGGCGAUGAAGGACGUGCUAAUCUGCGAUAAGCGUCGGUAAGGUGAUAUGAACCGUUAUAACCGGCGAUUUCCGAAUGGGGAAACCCAGUGUGUUUCGACACACUAUCAUUAACUGAAUCCAUAGGUUAAUGAGGCGAACCGGGGGAACUGAAACAUCUAAGUACCCCGAGGAAAAGAAAUCAACCGAGAUUCCCCCAGUAGCGGCGAGCGAACGGGGAGGAGCCCAGAGCCUGAAUCAGUGUGUGUGUUAGUGGAAGCGUCUGGAAAGGCGCGCGAUACAGGGUGACAGCCCCGUACACAAAAAUGCACAUGCUGUGAGCUCGAUGAGUAGGGCGGGACACGUGGUAUCCUGUCUGAAUAUGGGGGGACCAUCCUCCAAGGCUAAAUACUCCUGACUGACCGAUAGUGAACCAGUACCGUGAGGGAAAGGCGAAAAGAACCCCGGCGAGGGGAGUGAAAAAGAACCUGAAACCGUGUACGUACAAGCAGUGGGAGCACGCUUAGGCGUGUGACUGCGUACCUUUUGUAUAAUGGGUCAGCGACUUAUAUUCUGUAGCAAGGUUAACCGAAUAGGGGAGCCGAAGGGAAACCGAGUCUUAACUGGGCGUUAAGUUGCAGGGUAUAGACCCGAAACCCGGUGAUCUAGCCAUGGGCAGGUUGAAGGUUGGGUAACACUAACUGGAGGACCGAACCGACUAAUGUUGAAAAAUUAGCGGAUGACUUGUGGCUGGGGGUGAAAGGCCAAUCAAACCGGGAGAUAGCUGGUUCUCCCCGAAAGCUAUUUAGGUAGCGCCUCGUGAAUUCAUCUCCGGGGGUAGAGCACUGUUUCGGCAAGGGGGUCAUCCCGACUUACCAACCCGAUGCAAACUGCGAAUACCGGAGAAUGUUAUCACGGGAGACACACGGCGGGUGCUAACGUCCGUCGUGAAGAGGGAAACAACCCAGACCGCCAGCUAAGGUCCCAAAGUCAUGGUUAAGUGGGAAACGAUGUGGGAAGGCCCAGACAGCCAGGAUGUUGGCUUAGAAGCAGCCAUCAUUUAAAGAAAGCGUAAUAGCUCACUGGUCGAGUCGGCCUGCGCGGAAGAUGUAACGGGGCUAAACCAUGCACCGAAGCUGCGGCAGCGACGCUGAUGCGUUGUUGGGUAGGGGAGCGUUCUGUAAGCCUGCGAAGGUGUGCUGUGAGGCAUGCUGGAGGUAUCAGAAGUGCGAAUGCUGACAUAAGUAACGAUAAAGCGGGUGAAAAGCCCGCUCGCCGGAAGACCAAGGGUUCCUGUCCAACGUUAAUCGGGGCAGGGUGAGUCGACCCCUAAGGCGAGGCCGAAAGGCGUAGUCGAUGGGAAACAGGUUAAUAUUCCUGUACUUGGUGUUACUGCGAAGGGGGGACGGAGAAGGCUAUGUUGGCCGGGCGACGGUUGUCCCGGUUUAAGCGUGUAGGCUGGUUUUCCAGGCAAAUCCGGAAAAUCAAGGCUGAGGCGUGAUGACGAGGCACUACGGUGCUGAAGCAACAAAUGCCCUGCUUCCAGGAAAAGCCUCUAAGCAUCAGGUAACAUCAAAUCGUACCCCAAACCGACACAGGUGGUCAGGUAGAGAAUACCAAGGCGCUUGAGAGAACUCGGGUGAAGGAACUAGGCAAAAUGGUGCCGUAACUUCGGGAGAAGGCACGCUGAUAUGUAGGUGAGGUCCCUCGCGGAUGGAGCUGAAAUCAGUCGAAGAUACCAGCUGGCUGCAACUGUUUAUUAAAAACACAGCACUGUGCAAACACGAAAGUGGACGUAUACGGUGUGACGCCUGCCCGGUGCCGGAAGGUUAAUUGAUGGGGUUAGCGGUAACGCGAAGCUCUUGAUCGAAGCCCCGGUAAACGGCGGCCGUAACUAUAACGGUCCUAAGGUAGCGAAAUUCCUUGUCGGGUAAGUUCCGACCUGCACGAAUGGCGUAAUGAUGGCCAGGCUGUCUCCACCCGAGACUCAGUGAAAUUGAACUCGCUGUGAAGAUGCAGUGUACCCGCGGCAAGACGGAAAGACCCCGUGAACCUUUACUAUAGCUUGACACUGAACAUUGAGCCUUGAUGUGUAGGAUAGGUGGGAGGCUUUGAAGUGUGGACGCCAGUCUGCAUGGAGCCGACCUUGAAAUACCACCCUUUAAUGUUUGAUGUUCUAACGUUGACCCGUAAUCCGGGUUGCGGACAGUGUCUGGUGGGUAGUUUGACUGGGGCGGUCUCCUCCUAAAGAGUAACGGAGGAGCACGAAGGUUGGCUAAUCCUGGUCGGACAUCAGGAGGUUAGUGCAAUGGCAUAAGCCAGCUUGACUGCGAGCGUGACGGCGCGAGCAGGUGCGAAAGCAGGUCAUAGUGAUCCGGUGGUUCUGAAUGGAAGGGCCAUCGCUCAACGGAUAAAAGGUACUCCGGGGAUAACAGGCUGAUACCGCCCAAGAGUUCAUAUCGACGGCGGUGUUUGGCACCUCGAUGUCGGCUCAUCACAUCCUGGGGCUGAAGUAGGUCCCAAGGGUAUGGCUGUUCGCCAUUUAAAGUGGUACGCGAGCUGGGUUUAGAACGUCGUGAGACAGUUCGGUCCCUAUCUGCCGUGGGCGCUGGAGAACUGAGGGGGGCUGCUCCUAGUACGAGAGGACCGGAGUGGACGCAUCACUGGUGUUCGGGUUGUCAUGCCAAUGGCACUGCCCGGUAGCUAAAUGCGGAAGAGAUAAGUGCUGAAAGCAUCUAAGCACGAAACUUGCCCCGAGAUGAGUUCUCCCUGACUCCUUGAGAGUCCUGAAGGAACGUUGAAGACGACGACGUUGAUAGGCCGGGUGUGUAAGCGCAGCGAUGCGUUGAGCUAACCGGUACUAAUGAACCGUGAGGCUUAACCUU
rnacentral:rRNA from 1 species